CGUUGGUUUCUUCCUUUUCUAUAGUAAAAUUCCUACUUUGCCCGCACUAGGUGGGUGCUUUUCCAGUGGCUGAAUUGCCCUUCGGCUUUUUCAUGCCUUCUGAUUGUUUUUGGUGGUUCGUGCAGGGACAAGUUGGGAAUUAUGUGUGACACGUGUCGGUCAUCGUGCUAUUCUCUUUUGGGGUUUGUUUUGCUUGCUUUUUGUUUCCGUUUCUCACUUGCAUUGGUGGUUUUCUAUCGCUCUCAGCUUCUCUUUUCUUUUGGUUCCCGUUGUGUGCUUCUCUUUGGCGCGCUUUUGUGUUUUGUUCUUCUCAGCCGUGGUUUUCAGAACGUCGCAGGUGCUUCCUUCUUCUGAUAACUCUGUGAAUUUGGAAAUCCAUCAUCCCAGGAACUAUUCAGAAGUACACUGCCCUGCACUGUGUGUUCGUCGAUGAAGCGCAACAUGCGGUGGAGGGCUGUACAUCAGAUGGUGAUCACGAUGUUAUGGCCUCCAAAAUUGAAGCCGGUGGAUGUUAUGAAAUCAUGGAUUUUCGGACUGUUAAAAUUAGGGCACAAUACAAGGUAGUACCGCAUGAAACCUUGAUUUUGUUCAACUCGAAAACAGUGUUUC